rnacentral:rRNA from 1 species
UGAAUACGAGAUGCUACGGCGUCGAAGCAGUCUAUGUCAUACUUCCAAGAAAAGCUUGCACUGUCAUAAACAAAUAAUGCCUGUACCAUAACCGACACAGGUGGGUAGGUAGGGUAUACUAAGGGGCGCGAGAUAACUCUCUCUAAGGAACUCGGCAAAAUGACUCCGUAACUUCGGGAGAAGGAGUGCCUUAUUUUAUAAGGUUGCAAUAACAAGAUCCAAGCAACUGUUUACCAAAAACACAGGUCUCCGCUAAGUCGUAAGACGAUGUAUGGGGGCUGACGCCUGCCCAGUGCCAGAAGGUUAAAGAAGUUGGUUAGCAUCCGCGAAGCUGAUAACUGAAGCCCUGGUGAACGGCGGCCGUAACUAUAACGGUCCUAAGGUAGCGAAAUUCCUUGUCGGGUAAGUUCCGACCCGCACGAAAGGCGUAAUGAUUUGGAUACUGUCUCAGAGAGGGGCUCGGUGAAAUAGACUUGUCUGUGAAGAUGCGGACUACCUGCACCAGGACAGAAAGACCCUAUGAAGCUUUACUGUAACUUGAAAUUGAAAUUGGACUUUACUUGCGCAGUAUAGGUGGGAGGCGUUGAGAAUAUUCUUGCGGGAAUGUUGGAGCCAUCAGUGAGAUACCACUCUUGUAAUGUUAGAUUUCUAACUUUGUAUCAUUAUCUGGUCAAAGGACAGUUUCAGGCGGGCAGUUUGACUGGGGCGGUCGCCUCCCAAACGGUAACGGAGGCGCACAAAGGUUUCCUCUGAACGGGUAGAAAUCGUAUCUAGAGUGUAAAGGCAUAAGGAAGCUUGACUGUGAGACCUACAAGUCGAGCAGGGACGAAAGUCGGUCUUAGUGAUCUGACGGUGCUGAGUGGAAAGGCCGUCACUCAACGGAUAAAAGUUACUCUAGGAUAACAGGCUGAUCUCCCCCAAGAGUUCACAUCGACGGGGAGGUUUGGCACCUCGAUGUCGGCUCAUCGCAUCCUGGGGCGGUAGUACGUCCCAAGGGUUGGGCUGUUCGCCCAUGAAAGCGGUACGCGAGCUGGGUUCAGAACGUCGUGAGACAGUUCGGUCCAUAUCCGGUGUAGGCGUUAGAAUAUUGAGAGGAGCCUUCUUUAGUACGAGAGGACCGAGAAGGACAUACCUCUGGUGUACCAGUUAUCGUGCCAACGGUAAACGCUGGGUAGCUAUGUAUGGAGUGGAUAACCGCUGAAAGCAUCUAAGUGGGAAGCCCACCUCAAGAUAAGUAUUCUCU